GAUGAGCGCUGGCGGCGUGCCUAAUACAUGCGAGUCGAGCGAACGGACGAGAAGCUUGCUUCUCUGAUGUUAGCGGCGGACGGGUGAGUAACACGUGGAUAACCUACCUAUAAGACUGGGAUAACUUCGGGAAACCGUAGCUAAUACCGGAUAAUAUUUUGAACCGCAUGGUUCAAAAGUGAAAGACGGUCUUGCUGUCACUUAUAGAUGGAUCCGCGCUGCAUUAGCUAGUUGGUAAGGUAACGGCUUACCAAGGCAACGAUGCAUAGCCGACCUGAGAGGGUGGUCCGCCACACUGGAACUGGGACACGGUCCAGACUCCUACGGGAGGCAGCAGUAGGGAAUCUUCCGCAAUGGGCGAAAGCCUGACGGAGCAACGCCGCGUGAGUGAUGAAGGUCUUCGGAUCGUAAAACUCUGUUAUUAGGGAAGAACAUAUGUGUAAGUAACUGUGCACAUCUUGACGGUACCUAAUCAGAAAGCCACGGCUAACUACGUG
rnacentral:rRNA from 1 species